rnacentral:rRNA from 1 species
CACUCCUGCGGGAGGCAGCAGUGGGGAAUAUUGGACAAUGGGCGCAAGCCUGAUCCAGCCAUGCCGCGUGAGUGAUGAAGGCCCUAGGGUUGUAAAGCUCUUUCACCGGUGAAGAUAAUGACGGUAACCGGAGAAGAAGCCCCGGCUAACUUCGUGCCAGCAGCCGCGGUAAUACGAAGGGGGCUAGCGUUGUUCGGUUUUACUGGGCGUAAAGCGCACGUAGGCGGACUAUUAAGUCAGGGGUGAAAGCCCGGGGCUCAACCCCGGAACUGCCUUUGAUUCUGGUAGUCUUGAGUUCGAGAGAGGUGAGUGGAAUUCCGAGUGUAGAGGUGAAAUUCGUAGAUAUUCGGAGGAACACCAGUGGCGAAGGCGGCUCACUGGCUCGAUACUGACGCUGAGGUGCGAAAGCGUGGGGAGCAAACAGGAUUAGAAACCCGGGUAGGCCCAUGA